GAUGAACGCUAGCUACAGGCUUAACACAUGCAAGUCGAGGGGCAGCAUGAACUUAGCUUGCUAAGUUUGAUGGCGGCCGGCGCACGGGUGAGUAACACGUAUCCAACCUUCCGUUUACUCAGGGAUAGCCUUUCGAAAGAAAGAUUAAUACCUGAUAGUAUGGUGAGAUUGCAUGAUAGCACCAUUAAAGAUUUAUUGGUAAACGAUGGGGAUGCGUUCCAUUAGGUAGUAGGCGGGGUAACGGCCCACCUAGCCGACGAUGGAUAGGGGUUCUGAGAGGAAGGUCCCCCACAUUGGAACUGAGACACGGUCCAAACUCCUACGGGAGGCAGCAGUGAGGAAUAUUGGUCAAUGGACGAGAGUCUGAACCAGCCAAGUAGCGUGAAGGAUGAAGGUCCUACGGAUUGUAAACUUCUUUUAAUAAGGGAAUAAACCCUCCACGUGUGGGAGCUUGUAUGUACCUUAUGAAUAAGCAUCGGCUAACUCCGUGCCAGCAGCCG
rnacentral:rRNA from 1 species